ACAAAACAUGAUAAUAAUUGAAGAGUUUGAUCAUGGCUCAGAUUGAACGCUGGCGGUAGGCUUAACACAUGCAAGUCGUGCGAGAAAAUAUCUUCGGAUAUGAGUAGAGCGGCGAACGGGUGAGUAACGCGUAGGAAUGUACCUAGUAGAAGGGGAUAGCCCGGGGAAACUCGGAUUAAUACCGUAUACCUCCUUUGGGAGAAAGAAGGCCUCUCUUUGAAGCUUUCGCUAUUAGAUCAGCCUGCGUAAGAUUAGCUUGUUGGUGAGGUAAUGGCUCACCAAGGCUACGAUCUUUAGCUGGUCUGAGAGGACGAUCAGCCACAUUGGGACU
rnacentral:rRNA from 1 species